rnacentral:miRNA from 1 species
CUGGGACAGGAGGAGGAGGCAG